CCCUUAGAUGUUCUGGGCCGCACGCGCGCUACACUGUUCGACGCAGCGAGUCUUAACCUUGACCGAAAGGUUUGGGUAAUCUUCAGCAAAGUCGAACGUGAUGGGGAUCGAUCAUUGCAAUUAUUGAUCGUGAACGAGGAAUUCCUAGUAAGUGCAAGUCAUCAGCUUGCGCUGAUUACGUCCCUGCCCUUUGUACACACCGCCCGUCGCUACUACUGAUUGGAUGUUUAAGCGAGGUUCUCGAACUGCUAGCGACUUAGCUUCGGUGAGGUCGCAGUGUGGGAAGUGAACCUAGCUUUGGUGUCUAGAGGAAGUAAAAGUCGUAACA
rnacentral:rRNA from 1 species